rnacentral:rRNA from 1 species
UAGGGAAUCUUCGGCAAUGGACGAAAGUCUGACCGAGCAACGCCGCGUGUGUGAAGAAGGUUUUCGGAUCGUAAAACUCUGUUGUUAGAGAAGAACAAGGACGUUAGUAACUGAACGUCCCCUGACGGUAUCUAACCAGAAAGCCACGGCUAACUACGUGCCAGCAGCCGCGGUAAUACGUAGGUGGCAAGCGUUGUCCGGAUUUAUUGGGCGUAAAGCGAGCGCAGGCGGUUUCUUAAGUCUGAUGUGAAAGCCCCCGGCUCAACCGGGGAGGGUCAUUGUAUUCUAGGAGACAUGAGUGCAGAAGGGGAGAGUGGAAUUCCAUGUGUAGCGGUCAAAUGCGUAGAUAUAUGGAGGAACUCCAGUGGCGAAGGCGGCAAUCUGGUCUGUAACUGACGCUGUGGCUCGAAGGCGUGGGGAGCAAACAGG